rnacentral:rRNA from 1 species
AACGAACGCUGGCGGCAUGCCUAACACAUGCAAGUCGAACGAGACCUUCGGGUCUAGUGGCGCACGGGUGCGUAACGCGUGGGAACCUGCCCUUAGGUUCGGAAUAACUCCCCGAAAGGGGUGCUAAUACCGGAUAAUGUCUUCGGACCAAAGAUUUAUCGCCUUUGGAUGGGCCCGCGUUGGAUUAGCUAGUUGGUAGGGUAAAAGCCUACCAAGGCGACGAUCCAUAGCUGGUCUGAGAGGAUGAUCAGCCACACUGGGACUGAGACACGGCCCAGACUCCUACGGGAGGCAGCAGUGGGGAAUAUUGGACAACGGGCGAAAUCCUGAUCCAGCCAUGCCGCGUGAGUGAUGAAGGCCUUAGGGUUGUAAAGCUCUUUUACCCGGGAUGAUAAUGACAGUACCGGGAGAAUAAGCUCCGGCUAACUCCGUG